GGCUGUUUGGUGUAGCGGUUAUCACACUUGUCUCACACACAAGAGGUCCCCAGUUCGAUCCUGGGAAUAGUCA
rnacentral:tRNA from 1 species